rnacentral:rRNA from 1 species
AGAGUUUGAUCCUGGCUCAGAUUGAACGCUGGCGGCGUGCCUAACACAUGCAAGUCGAGCGGCAGCGCGGGGGCAACCCUGGCGGCGAGCGGCGGACGGGUGAGUAACGCUUGGGAAUCUGCCUAUCAGUGGGGGACAACCCGGGGAAACUCGGGCUAAUACCGCAUACGAUCUACGGAUGAAAGCCGGGGACCGCAAGGCCUGGCGCUGAUAGAUGAGCCCAAGUCGGAUUAGCUAGUUGGUAGGGUAAUGGCCUACCAAGGCGACGAUCCGUAACUGGUCUGAGAGGACGACCAGUCACACCGGAACUGAGACACGGUCCGGACUCCUACGGGAGGCAGCAGUGGGGAAUAUUGGACAAUGGGCGAAAGCCUGAUCCAGCGACGCCGCGUGGGUGAAGAAGGCCUGCGGGUUGUAAAGCCCUUUCGGUGGGGAAGAAAAGCUUCGACCUAAUACGUCGGAGUCUUGACGUAACCCAUAGAAGAAGCACCGGCUAACUCUGUGCCAGCAGCCGCGGUAAUACAGAGGGUGCGAGCGUUAAUCGGAAUUACUGGGCGUAAAGCGCGCGUAGGCGGCCUUGCAAGUCGAGUGUGAAAAUCCCCGGGCUUAACCUGGGAACUGCAUUCGAGACUGCAUAGCUAGAGUAUGGGAGAGGGAAGUGGAAUUUCAGGUGUAUCGGUGAAAUGCGUAGAUAUCUGAAGGAACAUCAGUGGCGAGAGCGACCUCCUAGGACCAAAACUGACGCUCAUGUGGCAAAACGUGGGGGAGCAAACAGGAUUAGAUACCCUCGAUAUUUCACGACAUUAACCAAGAGUACUUGGAUGUCCGGAGGGGCUGCCUCUCCGGUGUCUAACCUACGCGUUAAGGUCGUCCGCCUGGGUAGUACGGGCGCGAAGUCUGCACACCCCACGGAUUGACGG